GCCCGCCUUAUCGCCCCUCCGCCGCCCCCGCGGGCCCGCCCUGCGCUGCCCCGAUAAGGGACCGGUGGGCGCACUCGGCGCCUCCGGAGGAGCCAAAAUGUAGAAUGGGUACUGCCCCUGAGCUGUGUGGCAGAAACUGUUCAGUUACAGCGAUUUGAGUAUUGCCAAUACGUGCCUGUUUGCCUAUCUAUACACAUUAAUGGCAAAAAUGCCUGCGACAUGCGACUUCGUUACACUCCACACUGGGCAGAAGAUGCCUCUCGUGGGACUGGGAACUUGGAAAAGUGACCGUGGCCAAGUGAAGGAGGCAGUGAAACAUGCCCUCAGUGUGGGCUAUCGCCACAUCGACUGCGCAGCCGCCUACAGCAACGAAGCCGAGAUCGGGGAGGCCUUCCAGGAAUGUGUUGGGCCCAACAAGGUUAUUAAAAGGGAGGACCUGUUUGUAACAUCAAAGCUCUGGAAUACCAAGCACCACCCAGAAGAUGUAGAGCCAGCACUGAGAAAAACACUUGGAGAUAUGAAACUGGAUUACCUGGACCUGUACCUCAUGCACUGGCCUCAUGCCUUUGAACGAGGGGACAAUCUCUUCCCAAAGAAUCCCGAUAACACGAUGCGUUAUGACUACAUUGAUUACAAGGAUACCUGGAAGGCUAUGGAGAAACUGGUGGGAAAAGGUCUUGUGAAAGCCAUUGGGCUGUCAAACUUCAACAGUCGUCAGAUUGAUGAUGUACUAAGUGUGGCUACUGUGAAGCCAGCUGUGCUCCAGGUGGAAUGCCAUCCUUACCUAGCUCAAAAUGAGCUGAUUGCUCACUGCCAGAAACGAGGACUGGUGGUCACUGCCUACAGUCCCCUUGGCUCUCCAGAUCGCAUGUGGAAACACCCAGAUGAGCCUGUGCUGCUAGAGGAACCUGGGGUCAAAAAAAUUGCAGAAAAAUACAGCAAGUCACCUGCACAGAUCAUCCUCAGAUGGCAAGUGCAGCGUAAAGUGGUUGUCAUUCCCAAGAGCGUCACUCCUGCUCGCAUUCAGCAGAAUCUCCAGGUGUUUGACUUCAGCCUUACAGAAGAGGAGAUGAGCCACAUUGGAAGCCUGAAUAAAAACUGGCGUUAUAUUGUGCCAAUGAUUACGGUGUGUUCAUUGCUGAUGUUAUCCCCCCCUUCUCUCAAAUUCCUGGAGUAGACUGGAAUCAGUGAUGUGAAACAUUGCUUCUGGCAGCUGCUGUCUUGGCCUGCUGUGGAUGGAAAGCUAGUAGCCAGAGAUGCUGGACACCCCCACUACCCCUUCAAUGACCCCUAUUAACCAUUGGAAAAUAAGGUGUUAAAGCAAUGCUCCCGGGUGUGCCCUUCCACAAUGUAAUUGUUGCCACGAUUUGUCAAAAGCACUGUCCAAAUUGAAACCUUCCUUCCCAAGUAGGUUUUCCGACAAUGUAUUACUUCUAAUCGACCUCCUGCCUGGAGAUCCUGUAGCUUCCGUGCCAAAGUUUGUGGAUUUAUUACGACUGCAAGCUGGCUCCUGGAGGCAUCAGAUCUUUUGAAGAUUUGAUAAAGAGUGAUGAGUCUAAGUCAAGUUCCAAAUGCAUCAUUGUCAGACUAGGACAUUACUUUGGGUAACUACUUUGGUCACUACUGUGAAACGGUUUUGAAAACUUAAGUUACUACCAGGAUGAGGGAAAAAAAUAAGAAGGAUGAAGGCAUGAAAGUUUUUUAAGUCUAAAGAAUUUCUCAGCCAUCAACUUUGAUAUCUUUAUGAAUAAUUUUUUACACAGGGAAUAAAGUGACAUGUGCUACAGUUGCACUAUGUCCAUAAACCAUUUAUUAAAAGCCAAGUAAUCAGUCAUGCCCAGUGCUUUUAUCCACUUCAUAGUACUUUUGGGACCUAGAGUUCUCAAUUUUCUUUCUUUUAAUUUGGCUGUAGAUUUGAGCAGAAUAAAAGCAGACCCUGGAGCAGGCCUUCAGGGCAAUCCUCUCUCUUACUUGUCACAGUGCUGGAUUUCAGCUCUGACAGCAGCUCUGAUCCUAUCACAAAAGCCACAAGAACUUUUUUUAGCAAAUCUUGCAGAAAAACAUCCUGCUUUUCCCGUGAAGCUGUCUAGUGUUUCUUUACCAAAGAUGUCCAUUUUGAGUUAUGGAAGGUCACAAAAUUAGUUCCUAAUUGUACCGUAAGACCAAAGACCUUUCAGAGCUCUCAAUGUUUUAAUGUUGCAUUUUUGGCUGCUGCCAAAAAAUGUCUUUGGUUGAUGCUUAAGAGAGCUGCUCCUGUCGUACCACUGACCUGCUGGUAACUUGGGAUGAGUCAUUUGCCUUUUGUGCCUGUUUUCCUACUUGCCAUGUCUCUGUGUUCCCCUGGCAGGGUCUAAUUUGCUGAGUGCUGAUGCACCCUUUGACUGGAACUCCAGCUGUAAGCACAGUUUUCUUUUGUUUCAGUCUUCUAAUGAAUUGGCUGGUCAUCUGAGCACAAAGGGCACAAGGUGUUGUUAGUACCUACCUGUGCUCUGGUGGUGACACUUUCUGUGGCCUUAGAAACAUCAACACUUUAUUUUGGUUCUCUCUACCUGUUAAAUAGGAUUUUUUCCCCAUAGUAGUAGAAGCAAUUAGAAAAAGUCUUGUGUAUCAAAUAGUUCAAAAGUUUAAGAAUUGGACACUUUAAUUUUAAUAACCUCAUUUGCAAUAGGCCUAUAGCAGAUUUAUGUAUUCAUUUUGAGUAUAAAGCCUUCUCAGGUAAUUUGUCCCCUGGGCCUCACAGUGUGCAGCUGAACUGCAAAAAAAAAAAAAGUGACACCCAUUUAUCACUCCUUGUAAACCACAGGCAAAAUUUCAGGAACUUCUAUUCAUUCAUAAGAUGUUUCCUAAUUCCUGAUGAAUUUUCCUCAAUGGAGGAAGCCGUUGCAUCUCAUUUAGGAUUCUUUACUAGACUGGACAUUUUCUCCUAAGGAAAAUUAAAAUUCCUGUUCAUUUUUUUAAUUGUUCUAAUCAAACACUUUGAAUAUGGUUCUUGUUGCAAUCAUUAGGCAAGCAAUUGUACUUUCAAGGCACUCUGGAGACUGCAGUCACUCUGCCAAGGAUAGUGGCUUUUCUUGCUUGUUUCACUUGCAUGUUUGCUUGUUUAAAUAAAUUCUGUACUCAUUGUA